rnacentral:misc_RNA from 1 species
GAUGAAGAACGUAGCGAAAUGCGAUAAGUAAUGUGAAUUGCAGAAUUCAGUGAAUCAUCGAAUCUUUGAACGCACAUUGCGCCCGCCAGUAUUCUGGCGGGCAUGCCUGUUCGAGCGUCAUUUCAACCAUCAAGCCCCAGGCUUGUGUUGGAGCCCUGCGGCUGCCGCAGCCUCCCAAAACCAGUGGCGGGCUCGCUAUCACACCGCGUGCAGUAGUUUACUCUUCGCUCAGGGCGUGUGGCGGGUGCUAGCCGUAAAACCCCCAACUUCUCAAGGUUGACCUCGGAUCAGGUAGGAAUACCCGCUGAACUUAAGCAUAUCAAUAAGCGGAGGA